rnacentral:rRNA from 1 species
UACGGAGGGUGCGAGCGUUGUCCGGAAUCACUGGGCGUAAAGGGCGCGUAGGCGGCCUCGUCCGUCCGGCGUGAAAUGCCUGGGCUUAACCUAGGAAUUGCGCUCGAUACAGCGAGGCUAGAGUGUGGGAGAGGUUGGUGGAAUUCCCAGUGUAGAGGUGAAAUUCGUAGAUAUUGGGAAGAACACCGGUGGCGAAGGCGGCCAACUGGACCACAACUGACGCUGAGGCGCGAAAGCGUGGGGAGCAAACAGG